rnacentral:rRNA from 1 species
UGCUGUUGGUGGAUGAGUGGCGAACGGGUGAGUAACACGUGAGUAACCUGCCCCUGAUUUCGGGAUAAGCCUGGGAAACUGGGUCUAAUACCGGAUACGACCUCCUGACGCAUGUUGGGUGGUGGAAAGUUUUUCGAUCGGGGAUGGGCUCGCGGCCUAUCAGCUUGUUGGUGGGGUAAUGGCCUACCAAGGCGACGACGGGUAGCCGGCCUGAGAGGGCGACCGGCCACACUGGGACUGAGACACGGCCCAGACUCCUACGGGAGGCAGCAGUGGGGAAUAUUGCACAAUGGGGGAAACCCUGAUGCAGCGACGCAGCGUGCGGGAUGACGGCCUUCGGGUUGUAAACCGCUUUCAGCAGGGAAGAAGCGAAAGUGACGGUACCUGCAGAAGAAGUACCGGCUAACUACGUGCCAGCAGCCGCGGUAAUACGUAGGGUACGAGCGUUGUCCGGAAUUAUUGGGCGUAAAGAGCUCGUAGGUGGUUGGUCACGUCUGCUGUGGAAACGCAACGCUUAACGUUGCGCGUGCAGUGGGUACGGGCUGACUAGAGUGCAGUAGGGGAGUCUGGAAUUCCUGGUGUAGCGGUGAAAUGCGCAGAUAUCAGGAGGAACACCGGUG